rnacentral:rRNA from 1 species
AUACGGAGGACGCGAGCGUUAUCCGGAUUCAUUGGGUUUAAAGGGUGCGCAGGCGGCCGUGCAAGUCAGCGGUGAAAGCCCGGGGCUCAACCCCGGAAGUGCCGUUGAUACUGCAUGGCUGGAAUGCGGUCGAGGCGGGCGGAACGUGGCGGGGAGCGGUGGAAAGCGUAGAUAUGCCACAGAACGCCGAUAGCGGAGGCAGCUCGCCGGGCCUGCAUUGACGCUCGGGCACGAAAGCGUGGGGAUCGAACAGGAUUAGAUACCCUGGUAGUCCACGCCGUAAACGAUGGGCGCUCGUCGUCGGCGACAGACAGUCGGCGGCCAAGCGAAAGCGAUAAGCGCCCCACCUGGGGAGUACGGUCGCAAGGCUGAAACUCAAAUGAAUUGACGGGG